rnacentral:lncRNA from 1 species
CCUUUUUCCACCAGGAACUAUUAGCCCAGAAGGAUGCCAAAGUAGUCAGUCUUUCCCUGCCAGAGUUGCAGUGAACAUAGAUGAUGGUAGUAGGAACCAACUUAAGAGCCCUAUCCAGGGUCAACUUACCUAUCAGUCCUAAAGAGCUCCAGACACCCAUGAAGCCCUAAAUUCAGGAUAGAUAGGAUUUCCUUCCUCAAGGAAUUCUGGUCCCAUAGUAUUGAGAGAGGGCUAUCAUGAACAACUUCAGUGAUCACCCAAGUAUCUGUGUGUGGUGCUGGGGUCUAGAAGGAGAUGGUGGCCUGGUUCCUGGCUGGUUGAGUCAUUAACAGACAGGAAAAUAUGAAUAUCACGGGAUCACCAUCUUGGUUCCAAUGAAGACUAGAAGUGGGGAGGAAGAAAAGACCCAAAGGAGACUCUUUGCUAAUAGCCAAGAAGUGACCCUCCAAGUCAUUUACAGAAAAAUCAAGGAAAUAAAAAUAGAAAAAGAGCUGUACCAUAUGGCAAAUUGUGUAUUCCUAGAGAGGGAGAAAUCAGCAAGACUAUACAUUGAAAAUGCCCCAAAACAUGUGCAAUGUGUGCCACCUGGGGACUUCUAACCUCCACAAAGGGGUUUUAAGAGAUGGAAGAAAAGAAAAGGAAACAGGAAUACUUCAGAGAAGCAGUGAAACAUAAGUGGG